rnacentral:sRNA from 1 species
AGCUGCGACAUCCGCCAACCCACUGAUGACCAGGGUGAAUGCAGCUGAUUUGGCUGGCUAGGCGGGUGUCCCUU